UACGUAGGGGGCAAGCGUUGUCCGGAAUCAUUGGGCGUAAAGAGCGUGUAGGCGGCCCGAUAAGUCCGCCGUGAAAGUCCAGGGCUCAACCCUGGAAUGCCGGUGGAAACUGUCGGGCUGGAGUCCGGAAGAGGCGAGUGGAAUUCCUGGUGUAGCGGUGAAAUGCGCAGAUAUCAGGAGGAACACCGAUGGCGAAGGCAGGUCUCUGGGCCACUACUGACGCUGGAGAAGCGAAAGCAUGGGGAGCGAACAGG
rnacentral:rRNA from 1 species